AUGUGGACCCGUCUGCGUGAGCGCUAUCAGCCCUCUGGUGAUGCCUUAUACCUCUCUGUGAUCCGUCAGGAGCAUGCUCUUCAGCAGGGUCACUCUACUGUUGAUGACUUCUAUGCACAGAGUUCUGCUAUUUGGCGCCAGCUUGAUUCUCUCCGUAGUGCUGGGUGUCGUACCUGCCCCUGUUGCCAGGCUGUCCAGGCCAAUUUGGAGUUUCAUCGCGUCUAUGAGUUCCUGUCUCGACUCCGUAAGGAGUAUGAGCCCCGGCGUGCUCAGUUGUUUGCUCGUGGCCGUAUUUCUCUCAUGGAGGCGCUUUCUGAGAUUCAUGCUGAGGAGACUCGCUUACGUGGUGCUGGAUUGCUGGAGGUUCCCUCUGUGCUCGCUACUCGUGCUCCUACGCCACCUGCUCCACCGACCCCUUCUCGCUCGAGUGCUCCGCCGCUCUUGCCCACUCCUUCUGGAGGCUCAGGUCGCCCCCGUCCACAUUGCACCUAUUGCAACAAUGAUGGUCAUCUUGAGUCUCAGUGCUACACGAAGAAGAAACACCUGCGCAAGGCUCGAUCAUCAUCUUCAGGGACUUCGUCA
rnacentral:rRNA from 1 species